rnacentral:rRNA from 1 species
AAAUUGAAGAGUUUGAUCAUGGCUCAGAUUGAACGCUGGCGGCAGGCCUAACACAUGCAAGUCGAACGGUAACAGGAAGCAGCUUGCUGCUUUGCUGACGAGUGGCGGACGGGUGAGUAAUGUCUGGGAAACUGCCUGAUGGAGGGGGAUAACUACUGGAAACGGUAGCUAAUACCGCAUAACGUCGCAAGACCAAAGAGGGGGACCUUAGGGCCUCUUGCCAUCGGAUGUGCCCAGAUGGGAUUAGCUAGUAGGUGGGGUAAAGGCUCACCUAGGCGACGAUCCCUAGCUGGUCUGAGAGGAUGACCAGCCACACUGGAACUGAGACACGGUCCAG